rnacentral:lncRNA from 1 species
GCCUCCAAACGCCUCGAAUCUAGCCAUAAAUAAUUUAUUUUAGUCAAUAAAAUUCAUUGGAAUUAAUUCCAUAAGAAAAUGCUAAUUUUCCAUAAAAAUCCGAAUUUUAGCUCAAAAAUCGCCCUUGGGGCCCACGUCUCGGAACCCGACAAAAGUUAUAAAAUAUGAACCCCUAUUCCACCACGAGUCUAACUAUACCAAAAUUACUAAAUUCCGAUAAUAAUUCGGCCCUCAAAUCCUCAAAUUUAUCCAAGACGGUUUUCAAAUAUUUUUCAACUUAAUUCACCAAUUAAAUGAUAAAAACAACCAUGGAUUCGGGUAAUUUAACCAAUAAUGAGUUAAGAACACUUACCCCGUUGUUUUCUCUGAAAAUCUCCCAAUAAUCGCCUCAAUCCGAGCUCCAAAUCGUUAAAAAUGGAUUUUCUAAACUUAAACUUUCUGUCCAGACCUCUCUUCUUCGCGAACGCGACAGGUCCCUCGCGUUCGCGAAGCACAAAAUGUGCUGCCCAACGUUUGCUCUUUGCAAACGCGAUACACUGCUCGCGAACGCAAUAUUUUACGGAGCUCUUCUUCGCGAGCACGAGCUCCUCUUCGCGAACACGAGCUCCCCUUCACGAACGCGAUACCCAAACACGAAUGCGAUGCACAACCCAGUUUCUCUUCGAGAACGUGAGUCA